CUGUUCAUGGGUUCCCUGUACGUGAGUAUGUGACUUUGUAUUUUGGUGGCUUUUGAGCUGAAUAUAGUAGGGAAUAUCACAGAUCUCCAUUACAGCCUUCUUAUAUUAAACAUUAGGAAAAAUAAAAGAUCUAGCAAUACAAAUAUUUUGGUGGCAGCAUACAGAGUACAUGGUGAACAAAUCUGGAAUAAACUAGUCCAGAAAUAAAAUUACAAAUUAUUUGUUGGGCCUCUAAUACAAGCUAAGGCUGACCACCCCCGAAUCAUUGCCAUAGAUACUCUAUCAAAUCGCCUUUGAGUUGUCGAUGUGUAGCUCGAUCACGAAUUGCUGAGCCUAUCUCCAGCACUCUGGCAAAUUCAUGAAUUGGCCCAUGGUUCAGAUUAUCUAUUUCGUUGUUAAAGGUACCCUGAUCAUAGUCAUAGUCAAAGCGAACCUCAUAGGAAUCCCGCUCAUCCUCGACUAUCAUAUUAUGCAAUAUAACACAUGCAUACAUGAUAUCAGCAAUAUCUUGCCUAUACCAAAGAUUAACCGGACCACGUACAAUAGCAAAUCGAGAUUGUAGAACUCCAAAUGCACGUUCAACAUCUUUUCUUGCACCUUCUUGCAUCUUUGCAAACAAUUUUGUCUUGUCAGUUGGGGGCAAGCGGAUUGUCUUCACAAAUGUAUUCUGGUUCCAACAGCUAGUUUUCUGCACAUGUAUUCUGGUUCCAACAGCUAGUUUUCUGAACAUGUAGCUCUUUUCAACGGCUAGUUUUCUGCACAUUUAUUCUGGUUCCAACGGCUAGUUUUCUGAACAUGCAACAUUUAUUCUGGUUUCAACAGCUCUUUUCAACAUUGAUACAUUGAUGAUAGACUAAAUAAUACAAUACCGAAACUAAAAGAUAUCUUUGACAGAAAUGGAAAGAUACAUUGAUGAGAGCCUGAAACUAAAUGAUACAAUACCGAAACUAAAAGAUACAUUGCUGAAAUGGAAAGAUACAUUGAUGAGAGGCUGAAACUAAAUGGUACUACUAAUUAUUAAAUAGAUAGCUCCAUGCCUAGAAGAUUCAGAAGCUGGUUAUAUCGCUGUAGCUUUGCUGCAUCAUAUCCGGAUGUGUCUGUCUCCAGUAACUUCAUAUACUUGCUCAAUUUUUUGGUUCUUGCCUUCUCAAGUGUGGCAGCAGCGUAAUCUUUCAUUGCAGAUGCCUUCUCCUUUCUUGCUUCUGCAGCCAUCUCUAUUGCAGCUGAUUUUCUUGCUAUGGCAUCAUGAUAUAGUUGCAUAGUUGGAUCUGGCAGGUUGCUUGAAGAAGAGUCGGCCUUUGCUGGUGCCUUUCCUUUGCGUUUUGCGCCCUUCUGUCCCGGAGGACGACGUUCCAAUUGUCUGUCCACUGAUUCUUCGGCAUCUUUACUAGAAGAAGAAAUGAGGCUGAGGCGAAUAAUGAAAAUAUCCGGCAUCUUGGUUGAUCCUAGCAUGUGGAUCAAUCCCGGUGAAGCCGGCGGCUGCAGAAGAUGAAUGACCAUAUGAACCUCCUCCAUACACUCCAUGUGCUGCUUGGAAACCUGAGGUAUGUGGAGGUGGAAAUGGAUACAUGUUCUGUGCAUACAUGGGAUGCAAAUAUUGCCCAUGCUGAGAGGAUGAAGCACUUGUGAACUGGUGAGGUGGGGUGGCAGAUGGGGUAUAGUUUCGAUUUUCUGGAUCUUGGCUUGAGCAAUUAUUGAGCAUCCUAGUGAAACUUCCUGGAGAGUGCUCCAUGAAUGUGAAGUUUUUUGAGGUGUCUAGGCUCCCAGUUGGUUUGGGUGUGUGCAAACUUAUUGUUCAAAGCCCUAGUAUAUAUACUGAUAGAUGUGUGUAUGCACACACUUGUUGUAACGGCCAUAAUUUGUUGUUUAUUAUUAUUUU